UGACAAUGUUUUUAAUAAAUGCUUUUAACUACCAUGGAAGGCAGCAGUGGGGAAUUUUUCUGCAAUGGGCAAGGCCUGAUGAAGCAAUGUCAUGUGGAGGUAGAAGGCCCACAAGUUGUGAACUUCGUUUCUCGGAGAAGAAGCAAUGACGACAGCUAGGGAAUAAGCAUCAAUCAACUCUGUGUCAAUAGUCAUGAUAAUAUAGAUGAUGCAA
rnacentral:ncRNA from 1 species